rnacentral:lncRNA from 1 species
ACAUGAGGACUUAAUGACUAGAUCCAUCUCUUUCUAUACUUGGCAUUGAAUUAAGUUGGGCAGUGAUGUAGAGGUAUUGGAAAUCGUUUCCUGAGCCUCUCAAUCAGGUAUUGGGUUGAGACUAGCUCCAUUUUAAAUUAAACAUGCAAUUUAGGUAAAUAAAAUAUUAUGACUCUUUAUCUGGAAUUUUAUAAAGGUCUUUUAGUUUCUUCCUGAAUAUUGGGACUCUGGCUUAUCUACAAUCACACAUUCCUGAUAACUUGACUACUACUACUACUAAUAUAAAAUCAGGAAGGGACUUCACAAUUUUUUAGAGGACUGUUCUAUAGGAUCAAUCCGUAAAAGAAUAAUUCUUGAAAAACGACUUGAGAUUGAGCACUACCUUUUCAUUUUUCCAUCUGGAUCCUUUACACCUGCAGAAAUCCCUGCAGAGGUCCUUCCAACAAGAACAGAGAUUAUCCUCAAGGGAUAGUCUAUGAUGGGGCCAGCCCCUUAUGGCUCACCUGGAAUAGAUAUGGGAGGCAGUGCUUGUUGUGAUGCAGUGCUUGUUGUGAUCCAGUCUGACUUUGUGAUUCUCACCUGCACAGCACCUUGUGCGUGGUAUUUGCUUCAUGUUGUAGACACUUUGGUCCCAUCACAGACUCCCUUUCCAGGGCAGAUGUUUCUGUCACUGCUGUGAGGGUGGGCUGCCCAAAGCUCAGAGCUGUACCUAUUCUUGGCUAAGGAAGUUACUUCCUUUAGAAAUGCCUGGGUUAGGGUUAGGGUUAACCACCUUGCUGCCACCCCUAUCCUCAACUGAGGGGCAGCCCACUGUUUGACUGUCAGAUACUGGGGUGAAAAAGCCUGGGCUCCCUUACUCAAGGUCAGACAACUCUGUGGUACUAUUCAUGCUCCAAAAUUCCCUGAGAAAGGGUAGACUUCAGCUGAAUCCACAUCUUGGCGUCUCCUAUCCCAUGCUUCCAUCACUCCCUUACAGAUUUUACUUGUAAGCAUGCCCUCCAAGAAUCACUUGCACAAUAACCCCCCUCUCAGACUCUGCUUCUAGGGAACCUGACCUAGAGCACUUAGUAUUUGGGAGCAGUUGUGAAUAAUGUGGUUGAGGAAUUCUCUUGGUGGCUCAGAACGUAAACAUUCCUACCACCAUGCCCCAGGGUACUAGGGAUAGUCCGCAGGAGUGGGGUGCACCAUGAAGUUAUUGUUUGGAAGUUCAGCCUGGCCUAUCCCAGCUCAUGAGAUGUUGGUCCUACAUACAUACUAUGUAUGUACUUGACAAUACGUCCAUCUCCAGGGCUGAAGUGGAAGCAGAGUGGUCUUUGAGCAUUAAGUUGUCCCUCUUUACCUACCUGCCAAUUAAUCUCAGGUUAAGUACCCUUAACAUUCUUAUUUAAUUUACCCCCAAAGGAGUCUAUCUUGUAAGAAAAUAAUAUGAUCAGUGCCACUUGCAUGCUACUCUUUCAAUUCUUCCUCUAUCUUGCCUUCACCUGAGACUAGACUCAUUCCUUCUCAUCUUUUGUUGUACUAGUCUGGGCAAAUUUAGUCCUAGAAAUCCUGAUUUAACCUGGAAGAACUGAAAGAGGCAGCCAUGUUCCUGGUUUCAGGGAACUGGUAAGUAUAGUGAUUAAACAUCACCUCAGGUUGAGCUGUCCAGGAAGUGGACUCAGUAGAAAUGAAGACGGAUGACGUUUAUUAGGGAAAGCUUUGAGCAUCAGCAGCUGUGGAAGGGAGAGGAGGAGACAUGAUUGAGAAGAGGGAGGAAUUGAGCAGAGUGCAUUCUUAAUGGAAGCCUCAGCUGACCCAUGGGGAGCUCUGAGCUGGGAUGACCCUUAAGAAUUGUCUUGGUUUGGGCAAUGGAGCAGGGCCUUCGUAAACACCAUAGCAGUUGUUCAUUGGAUGUGCGCUGCCUUGGAAAGGGGGGGGCAGGUGGUGAUCUUCAGUGUGGAGGCUUUCUUCAGCAGAGGCAAUCCUUGUAGGGGCCUGACAGCUGGGGUUUAUCUGCCUGCAACACUUCCUGUAGUGGUGCACUGGGCCCUUCAUUUCUAGAGAAGAAUCUAGGAGGUGGCAUACACAUAAGGUCACUUCUGCAUUUAGGAAAUGCUGGUAUAGACAGACACCCAGUCUACUGCUCUAAGAUUUACUAUACGUGGCCUGAAGCCUCUCAGGACACACUUGACUGAAAAGCCUAUCUCCAGGAAUGUACUUGGAAAACUCAUGCAGGUGAGAUAGGUUCUGGCUCUUAACCACUUGCAAGUUAUCACAGUUGGUUGGGGCUGGAUAUGAGCAUAGGCUUAUUUAUCUGCUGCCUUCUAGUUGCUGGUCCAAGAAGAAAAUAGAGUUGUUUGAAGUCCCAUGAGCUCUAUUAGAGGGUAGUGUUUUUGUAACAUAAGAUUAUGAAUUCUAUUCCUAGUAUCAUAUGAUUUAAAUUUAGCAGGGAGCUGGACUGGCUGUGUGUCUUGACCAUGUAUCUAUUAAAAGAAAGCCCUGGGCUAAAUGAGAAAGGCUUAUCACAGCUUCUCCUUAUGUUUUGGAAACCUUGAAGGAAGGAAGAAUAUUUGGAAAGUGAGAAACUUAAUAAUAGAAAUUUAAGUAGACAAGGGACAACUAGACUCAGGAAAGUUUUAGUAAACUUAAAAAUGUCAACUAAUUGAUUUGAUCAAAUGUAAGACUUGCAACAUUUUGUAUUCUUUCUUUCUUUCUUUUUUUUUAAACACUGCAUCUACUGCAUUUGGAAGUUCCAAGGCUAGGAUUUGAGGGAUUGAAUUGGAGCUAUAGCUGCCAGCCUACACCAUAACCACAGCAAUGCAGGAUCCAACCCAUGUCUGCGACCUAAACACAGCUCACGGCAAUACCAGAUCCUUAGCCCACUGAGCAAGACCAGGGAUUGAACCUGCAUCCUCAUGGAUACUAGGUGGGUUUGUAACCCGCUGAGCCACAACGGGAAUUCCAACAUUUUGUAUUCUUAUUUCCAUUUUUUAAACUAUGCAUUUUCUCUUAUAAACCUUGUGUUUUUUUCCUUGUUGUUGAAAGUAUGUCCAGAGUUAGAACCUCUUUUUGUAAAACGGAAAUGAUAGACGAAUCAGCUAUGACAUUUUAAAGUAUGGGUUAUAAAGCAAUUUACAAAUUAGUAAUUGCACAGAGUGCUUGGAAAAGUGGUACAUGUUUUGAGUAGCCCAUCAAAUUCAGUGGGAUUUAAUCUCAUCUCCAGACUUCUUUAAUGCUCUGUCUGAUAGACCAGCAAAGAUAUGAAAAUGGGACAGUACAUUGUCAAAACCCCAAAAGGGGGUGCCUAUUCAGUGUAACCAGGUAGUCCAUUUAAAUAGGGGUUUCACAAUCUUCUUAGAGAUCCAUUCAGGAGAAAUAAAGCCUCUUCACUUUAAUUUAGACAGCACCUUAGAGGUACUGUUAGACAGUAAAUGACUCUGAUAGAACUUUUAUUAUGGCUUAUGGUCUUGAUACUGAAACAUGGAAAGCAGAUCUCAAUGACGGGAAUGGAGCAACAAAAGGGACUUGGAAAAUUCUGGGCUUCAGGCACCUGUGAGAGAGGUAGACUCUACUCCUGAGUAGUAAUCUUGCUUCAAAACACCAAAUAUGGAGUUAUUUCUUCGUUCCUUUUUUUUUUUUCAGCUGGAAAAUGCAGUAGAGAAAAGAUGAUUUUGCCCCUUUGCAUAUCCAAACUGGAGAACCGAAUAAAAUACUAAAGAUCUAAUAAGAUUUAGCUUUCCAGGAAUAUAAAUAAUUUAAUCAGAUUAAUGACAUUGUUCUACCUGAGGGGUUCCAUAAUUAGUGGAUUAUUGAAGCCACGUGAAAGUUAUCUGCCAUUAGCACCUGAAGGAAUUCCUGUUGUUUUAGACUGUGGAAUCAAGCAAUAUGAAUAUUCCUAUCAUGCAAACUGUAAAGAUAAUAACCCCCUGGCAUUUUGUAAGCUAUAUAAAUCCACGGAUUUCACAUUAAAUAUUUAAGGCACAGGAGGUGUUAUUUGUUAGGAUAUAGAUAAAGGGAGUUCAACUGCCUCAGGCCUUAUUUCUUCUUUUGGGAAGUCUGUUACUUUGUUGAAGGUAUUUUCAUGCCCUUAUUAUGGUGUUUUCCCCCUCUUUUGUUCAUACAUUGUUUCAGUUCCUCUGGAGGUAUUCUUUGGGUUUUGUAUGAGAAACAUUCAAAAUACGUUUACAGAAGGUUGGUUUUCCUUUUCAUAUAAAAAAGAAAUUCAUACCAGGGGCUCAUGCAGAGAUGAAUCAAGUACACUUUCAGUACAUGGGAAAUGCUAGGAUUCUAUGGAAAUACUGUCUCAUUACUCAGCCUAAAAUAUAUAAAAUCCAAGUUUUUUUCAAAUUUAUAUGUUCCACUCCUUUCAUUUAUAUGUUAUUUAGCUAUGGGAAAAAAAGAUUGGCCUUUAAAUUUGGACCUGUUAUUUCAUUUUUCAUAUUUUGUGAGACCUCCACAUAAACAAAAUUCAUAAAUCAUAAGUUAGAAAAUACGUGUGAGACUGUGUUUAAAUACUGAUGAGCUUAUAAAUCAGUGGAAUUAUAAUGUGGAUAUAAUAUAACAUGAUAUAGAAAACACAGCCAUGUUGUUGCCAGAGGUAGAGGUAGGGUGGGUGGGUAAUGUGAAAUAGAUGGUAGGACUCAAAAGUAUAAACUUCUAGUUAAAAAAGAAAUUUAAUGGAGAUGUAGUACACAGCCUGACAACUAGAGUUAAUUACAUUAUAUUACUUAUUUGAAAGUUGCUACUAAAAAAGUAGAUCUUAAAAGUUCUCACUCAAGAAGAAAAACAUUAGGAGACAGAUUUAAGAUGGCAGAAUAAGACAGGAACUCACCUUCUCUCAUAAAAAUAACAAAAUUACAACCAACUGCUGAACAGCCUUCAGCCAAAUGGACUGGAAAAAUCUCAAAAAGAUAUCCUACACCAGAAAAAAAAGAGGAGGCCACAUCAAGAGGUAGGAGGGGCAAUUAUGUGAUAUGAGCAACCCCAUACCUGCUGGGUGGGCAGCCCACAGACUGGAAAGUAACUGUAUCACAGAGACUCAACUAAAGGAGUGAGAGUUCUGAGCCCCACGUCAGGUGCCCAUGCCUGGGGAUCUGGCAUUGGGAGAAAGAGACCCCAGAGCAUUUGGCAUUGAAGGCCAGUGGGGCUUGUGCACAGGGGCUCCAUGGGACUGGGGGAAACGGAGACCCCAUUCUUGAAAGGCACAUACAAGCUUUCAUGUGCACUGGGUCCCAGGGCAAAGCAGAGGCUCCAAGGAAUCUGGGUUGGUCGGACCUGACAGCAAUUCUUGGAGGAUCUCCUGGGAAAACAGGGGCUGACUGCUGGCUCUUGUUGUUGGGGAGGGAUGCUGGAGGCAAAGCUCUAGGGAAUGUUCAUCAGCAUGUCUUUCUCUAGAGGUGGCCUUUUUUGGAAAAUCUGGCCCCACCCAUCAGUAAACAGGCUGCCUAAAGUUCUUCCCCCCCCGGGGGGGGGCACACAGCCACAUCUAAUCUCACCCAGAGACAAAGUCCCACCUACCAGAGGGAUAUGAAUCUGCCCCACCUCUGGGUGGGCAGGCACCAGUUCCUCCCAUCAGAAAGCCUACCCCUUACCAACUUCAGCCACAAGGGGGGCAGGACAUCAGAAGUAAGAGAGACUACAACUCUAUUGUCUGCAAAAA